AAGGAGAAGAAGAAGAAGAAGAAGAAGAAGAAGAAGAAGAAGAAGAAGAAGCCUCAUGGUACCAACCUAAAUUGGUAAAAUUAAGGAAGUUUUUAGUUCCCCUGCUAAUUCAGAGAUAUAUAGAAAGCCUGAGUUUUUGAACCACCUUUGGCAAUAUGCUUCCAGCCGCCCAGCAACUCUGUCGUGGACACAUUUACAACUGAUCACUGCUGUACUGAACUGAGAGCGACGAAGAAAUGGCGAGCGAAGACGAUUACGAAAUGUGAAUAGAGCCACAGGAGUUACAGAGUGUGGACAUCAACCUGCAGUCAUUCUGGUCAAACUGAUAUUCUGCAGAGGAGGAGUGCAACACUUCCUGUUGCGACGUACCCUGUAUCCUGUUUUCCACAGUCAGUGGUCAUGCGUAUCAUUCCCCUCUGCUCGGGUGUGUGGGCAAAACCUUGUGACCCUGUGCCGUGACUUCUCUCGCUCGUUUUUUCAGCAACAGGCGCAUGUUAACCAUCACAUUGUUGUAUCACGUUCUGUUGAGAAACGAGGGAGACUUUAGUCUGCGCAGUUAAAAGUGGAUGGGGGCAGAAUACAGUGAAUAACAGCCUGGUUUCACUGAAUAUAGCUCAUGUGUACUGAAGUGUUAAAUAAACACCAGUAAUAGUAGUACUGUACAACAAGUAGAUGGUGCCUCCUUCAGAAUUGCAGUUGGCUCUUAAAAUAAAAGCAUGCAAAGAUAGUGAUGAGCGCUUUGACACCUCCACACAGCAGGCCCCCGAGACCUCAGGGGCCGAAGCCUGCCACCGUGAAGUAAGAGGUGCCACUGUUACUGUUAGUGUGCCUGUGUGGGCUUGAAACAUCACAGAUACGGAUCUUGUGACUGUAUUCAGAAGAAACUGUGAAGUGUUCAGUUACACCCUGUGGUGGGACCUAACCAGAAGCCAGUAUAUGCAGGCAGGGCAACUUCACACUGCGUCACAAAUAUAUCCCUGCUCUCGACUUUGUUUGAUACAUUACAACUCACUGGACAAGUUGUUAUCAUAGAGUGUGAGUCAAUUAUAAUAUCAUGAAAACCCGUUGAGAUGUGUUGACAUCCUUUAUGUAAAGAAGCAGUUGGUCAGUUUGGGAUUAUUAGUUUUCCUUGUCACAAGUUGAAAAGAUCGGCUUUAAAUAUGACGAUGCAGUGAGCAGCUGUGAGCUCAGCUUAGUAUAAAGCCUGGAAACAGCUCUACCUACCAGCAGCUCUAAGGAUGAACAAUUUUGCAUCUCAUUAGUUAGAAACACUCCACCGCAUCUACACAUACAGAUCAAAAGAUUGUUACCUGUGGACAGAGCAAGGCCAUAUGUUUACACCUGUUUCCAGGCUGGGUGAUAAUAAGCAACCUAAUCUGCUGGCUGUAGUGUCACAUUAGUGUCACAUGCAGUUUUCAGUAAUGAGAGUAAUGAAAGUAUUGAUCCUCUCCUCUGACUCGAGGCAAGGAGGUUAAGUGUGUUAUUCAAUUAUUCAAUUAAAAAUGUCAAAUUAUUCCAUUAGGCCGCAGCAGCAGCACACUGUAAAACAUACUCAAUGACAAGUCAAAUCACAGCUUUGAAAAUGUUCUUUAAAGCAAGAAUAUAUAACUUUUGGGUGAUAAAUGGCAUGUUCUCCCUCUAAGAAGUAAACAUUUGAAUAUCCAAGUAAAAAUAACUGGAAACAAAACUCACCUUUAUUUCCUUCAGAACAGUGUGGUCUGAGCAACGUGGAUACUAAUGUUGGGAAUAUAAAUUGAAGGUGUUUAACCGGUUUGCUCACUCUGGUCUGUCUGAUUGUUUAAUUGUGCUACUGCCAGACAAUGUUAUUCCAUAACUGACACUUGACCAGGGAAUUCUUAAAGGGAACAUAUCUAAUUUCUUAACAAAAUUAUUUUUAAAUGUCAAAGGAAAAAGUACUGAUGGAAGAAAAUGGCCAUUAAAAUUACAUUAUAAUGUUUAACAGUGCACCAUAUUUUAACAGUCCAGCUAUGUGUAUAUGGAAACACUGAUUAACAGCCAAAAUGUAAAAUUUAUAUUUUUUUAAAUGCAUAAAGGUAAGAAGGCUAUCAAAUGGAAAAAAAUGUAAUAGUAACUUUAAGACAUGUACUGAGUUUCUCUGUGGGAGCACAAAUAAAUGAGUCAUGUUACACAGACAACCACUGGUCAUUCUCAUAUGUUUUGCAUGGUUGUUUUUUUCAUGCCAUUGUUUCCACCACUAUACCCAGCACAUAAAAGCCAAUAUAUAAAGCGGAUAUCACUGGAUUGUUGAGUCCAUUGUAGGAAGUGAAAAUCAUGUUAAUUAUUUUGUACACUACAAACUUCAACUUCAUCGGUACCUAAAUUAACACCUUCCUGUCUAGUAUUUAUGAUUCUGUAUUGAAUGCAGUAUAUUUUAGAGUUGUACCUAACAAGGUGGGUAUAUUUUCAAUGCAAGAUAUCAAGAAGUAGCAUGUACACAUUUAAAAAACACAAUACAGCAUGUGAUCUCUCCGGGUAAUGACAACUUUGGGUUUAAACCCACCAGUUACAUUACUUUAACUGUUUGAUAAUAAGAAAUGGAAAAAUAUGAUGGUGGAAAAUAUUUCUGUGUACUGAAACCAAAAUGUAAUCGGCCUCCAUGAUUCAACUGCACUUUCGUAUAUGUCUUACACAAUAAUGUCUGUUCUUGUUCUUGCACUUUGGUUUUGCUUUCCCACAGACACUGAGGCAGUGAAGGUUUAACUGGGCUGCAGCACCUGGAGCUCGUAUGGAUUUAGUUUGUUCUCAGAGGACAUUUCAACAGGACACACUGCAUCAAGGAGGAAACAUGGUUGCUCAGAGACUUGGCACUUCAAUUAAAGGGUUACAGUGGAAAUCAACUUCAAGUCCCAGAAAACUCAGAGGAAAAACAAACACCAACAAAAAGCAACCGGCUCUUAUCGGAGCCUGGAUCAUCCACACCAUAUGACACGACAUGGAUUCAUUUAAAGACGGACUUCAGGGAACUGAAUCUGAGACAAGAGUACCCAGUUCCUCAUUUAAUAAUAUGUCACUCAUGGUGUGCAUGCACUGUAUGCGUGUACUCUAUUUCUCAGGCCACAAGCACAACAAACAGACAGCGACUAAUGGAGUUCUGUGUAGAAAACCGGGGGGGCAUUUAAAAAGUCUUUGAAAAAAGCUGAGAGAAGCGAACAGACAGAAAGUCUAUAGAUGUCCUUGUGUAAAGAGGAAGCACAGACCUGUGACGAGCACAGCAGCGCUGAAUUUAAUACAGUUUCAUUUUGCAACUUCGAUAAAAGUUUACAAUCCAAUUCUUCAGUCAAUGCUGCCAUAACCACAUAACCAGUAACGUAUGUGUUUGACUGAAUCAUUCUUUAAGCUGCUGAAAGUGUCAAGUAAAUUAGUAUCAUACAUUUGUAGUGUGUUAUUGCCCAUAAGGUCAGAAAACGACACACAAUAGGCAGCAGCUCCCACUGCCUGUGAACAUUAUAUCUAUACAAAUUUGACCUCUCAAAUAAUUUUAAUAAAUUGUGUACAGCUUAUUAAAUAUGCCUGUAUGAAUUCCACCUGAUGAAGGUUUGAGGAGCAAUCAACGGUAUAAAUGAUUUUCUUCUUGUUCAUUCACAGAUCUGUUAUUAUUGUGUGUAUCAUCGGCUAAAACAUGUUUAUUCUCCUGGUUAACAAAAAAGUUUCAAUGACUUUCUUGACUCAAGAACUACAACACAGAGAUUGUGUUGGCUGCAGCUUAUGGUGGAUCCUGAUAGUUGAGGUGGAUCAUGAUGGUGGAUUAUGGAGCGUGAUCGUGUUGGCAGCUGAUCAUGGACAAUGAUAACAACAAGACGGCUUCACAUACAAUUCAUCUGCUCACAUAGUCCACCAUUACUUACAAUAACUCCUCAAUUCAUUUCUUGUUGCUGCUUCCUUCAUCUCCAUCUGACAUUUUCUUAUAUACAAGUACUUUAAACAUUGAAACUUUUCCAUUAUGUUACAAACUGUUUCUUCUAAUCAGUAUUGUAGAUAUUGAUAGUUUGCUGAUCGAUUAAACUUCUGACCAUCCUGGGUUUUCACAUGCAGCUCUCUCUGAGGUUUCUACAUUUUCUCCCCCCAGUAAUAAGGUUGUUUUGGUCGUUUCCCUCACUCUUGAAAUAUUUAGCCACUGCCUCCUCGUUAGAUUUGGACAAUUAUGACAGUUCAUCAACAAAUAAACAAUAAUAAUCUGCAUUUUCCAGGUGCAGCUUUAAUGUACACAAUAAUAGACCAAAUAUUUAAACCAAAAUAUAUCAUAAUGUAUAUUUCCAUGCUGAUACUGUGUAAUUUUCUUCGUAUUUUUACAAUUUGCUGCUACUACUACUAUUAUUUCAAUGAUCCAGGUACUUCUAUUAAAAUGACAGCACUUAGCAACCUAGUCAGUUUUUAUAAAAAAUAUAAAAACUGACUAGGUUUAAUACAUUGACAGACUUAAGUUGUAACCUUUUAAACAGCUUUCAGUCACUUUGUUUCUCAGGAUGAACAAAAAAAUUAAACUUUGGCUUUACUUGAAAUAGUUGUGAUGGAAAUAGUGCCUGGUUUGCUGCAGCUGGGUAUUAAUACUCUCGGAAAAAGUUGCUGUAUACACCGUCGGUUUUGUUCAACCAGCUGUGAUUAAGAAGGGGGCUGGCCACAGUCUGUGAGGUUUUAAUAGCUCCACAUAUAAGAUAUUCUGACGGUCCUCCAUCAGUUAGGAAAGAGGACAGGAUGACAUUUUGACCAAAAGUUACAACACACACAAAGAACAAAUGAUCUGAACCACCUGUUUUACAGUUUAGUUGUGACCUGAUACAAUCCAUAAGAGGAGAAGUGGUGUACACACUUUGAAUCUGCACAGAACUGUCUUCCCCUGUCACUCCUGUACUUCACUAUCCUGUAUAGCGCUUUAAAAAGGAUUAGUCGAAGUUAUGACAGAGUUGUUGAGCUCUCAGCACCAACAGGAAUAUUAAUACUGAUGUUGGUAGGAGAUCAAUAUAACCAGAACAUUUGGAUUCUUCAGAAAUAUAUUUUCAGCACAUAACCUUAUCUCAAUACUGCAGUCAUCUUCUUAAAACAGCAGGUCUUACAAUAAACACUCAGGUUUAGUGCUACACACUUACUGGACCAUGCAAUGAUUGUCUUAUCUUAUCACCAACAGUCGCAAUAUGUUCAGAAACUAGUAGCCAACUUAUUUGACUUUUAUUUUGUCUUACAAACAUACAGAGGACCAAAAAUAAACAGCAUAAUUUAUUUAUAUCAAUUACAAAAAAACAGAUCCUUUGGUGGUUUCUUUGUUGGCUUUUGUUGUUUUGCAGCAGAUGGAAUCAGUUCCCCCAGGAAAGGUUCGAGCAGUGUCUCCGCUUUGUGAUAACCGUAAUCUCCAUUCACCUCAGUGUAGUUACACCACUGAUACUGUACCUCCAUCUUAUCUUCCAGAUGUGCGUGUGUGUGUGUGUGUGUGUGUGUCACCAUGUGCACUUUCAGUCCGUCAGUUUCAGGACUGCAGUUAGAAACCCGGCCGUUUGAUGUGCUGACAAACGUAAUGAAUGACACUGUCUUUGUGCAGCAUGUGAACUGUAAAUGAUAUCCUGUCCAUUUAAUAAAUAAAUGCAUUAAUAA